rnacentral:piRNA from 1 species
UGGCAUUUUUAGUGGGUGUGAGAAGA